CACCGCGGUUAGACGAAGUAGCCCAAGUUGACGAACAUCGGCGUAAAGAGUGGUCAAGGGCAGAUACAACUAAAGCCGAAGCUCCCCUCAACCGUUAUACGCAUUCGGAGGAGCGAAGUUCUACUACGAAAGUGGCUUUAUCCAACCUGAACCCACGACAGCUAAGGAA
rnacentral:rRNA from 1 species